ACAGCAGUCGCCGCGGGAACACGUAGGUGGCAAGCGUUGUCCGGAAUUAUUGGGCGUAAAGGGCUCGCAGGCGGUUUCUUAAGUCUGAUGUGAAAGCCCCCGGCUCAACCGGGGAGGGUCAUUGGAAACUGGGAAACUUGAGUGCAGAAGAGGAGAGUGGAAUUCCACGUGUAGCGGUGAAAUGCGUAGAGAUGUGGAGGAACACCAGUGGCGAAGGCGACUCUCUGGUCUGUAACUGACGCUGAGGAGCGAAAGCGUGGGGAGCGUACAGGAUUAGAUACCCCCGUAGUCCCUGUCUCUUAUAC
rnacentral:rRNA from 1 species